CCUACGGGACGCAGCAGUGGGGAAUAUUGGGCAAUGGGCGCAAGCCUGACCCAGCAACGCCGCGUGAAGGAAGAAGGCUUUCGGGUUGUAAACCUCUUUUGUCGGGGAGCAAGACCCGCCUCGUGCAGGCGGAGCGAGAGUACCCGAAGAAAAAGCAUCGGCUAACUCCGUGCCAGCAGCCGCGGGAAUACGGAGGAUGCGAGCGUUAUCCGGAUUUAUUGGGUUUAAAGGGUGCGCAGGCGGACCAUCAAGUCAGCGGUAAAAUCGUGGGGCCCAACCCCAUCCCGCCGUUGAAACUGGCGGUC
rnacentral:rRNA from 1 species